CUGGAACAGAAAAUGCUGGAAACAAGCAUCAAGACCAUUAGCAGUUCACGGCACUUGCAAACAGCAUUUUAAGCACCUCACCAAGUCAUAACUACCAGGAAAGCAGCCUAUCUUUAUGGAUGAAUUAGUUUUGUGUAAUAUAAACUGGACUUCCAGAUGACAUCCAUUUCACCAGGAGUGGCUUUACAAACACCCAGAUUUUG